rnacentral:lncRNA from 1 species
CGGCCGCGUCUCCGCAGUGAUCUUGGGAGCCACACCACGAGGGGAAGGAGUCCCUCUGCCUGUGCACUGCUGUGUUCUCCGGACUUGGGACUCGGACACUUGAAUUGCCUCGAGCGUCCUCCUUCCCUGUCUCCCUCCCUCAUCAUCUCCUCCGCGCUUCUCUUGUCCUUUCCACUGUCCCUUCCCUGCGGAGCCUCCCUGUCUCCAGUGUGGUCAGGUGCAUCGCUCAGGCUGUCGGUCCUGCGGAGCAGCCGGUCUAGGGCGUGUGUUUCCCCGGGUGGUGUCUGAGGCUCCAGCCGCCCAGAAACUCGAGAUUCUAGUUUCCCAAAAGCAGAACUUUCACCUUUCUUAUGUGGGCACCUCUUCCGGACCUCCACAGAUAACCGUCUACGCGGGUCUGCACGCUACUUCCCGCAAUUCUUUUACUCCCUCCUUUUUUGACUUCCUGUGAAGUUGAGUUUUCUCGAGGUAGUGCUUUUGCUCAGAGACCACAUGCUUAGCUCUGAAUUUCUCUCUGACUUUAUUUCCUUCCGUACUACUCAACCAAUAGGACAGUUUAUCCUUCCUCGUGUUCCCAACGUUUUGGGGGAGUUUUUUUUCCCUCCAUUUUCAUUUUGAUUUUUUCUAAGAUAUUGUUUUUAACUGUUUUGUUCAAAUGUGUACCCAAAAUAUAGCAAACCUUAAUGUAGAUUUUGUGUACUGUACAUGGCUGAAUAUUUCGAGCAUUGCCUAACAUAUGUUCAACUGUACUUCGGGCAUACAGUUACGGAGUUGGAAAUUUUAAUGUGAAUAAUCGGAAUGCUGGUCUGAAGAACUGAGAGUCAAUCUAGAAUAACAUGUUGGUUUACGUUUAAGAGUAUACAGAAAUUGUUUUAACUGUGUAGAUCACAGAGGAGCUGGGCAAAAGGAAGCAUGAUCUAGUGUGGUUACCUAAAGGUAGCUUAUGGAGCAGCCAGCAAAGUAACUAAAAUAUGGUGUAAUGAAUAGGCAGGCAGUGUAGAGAUCUUAGGUAAAAAGGUAAAGCCACGCCAAAUCAGAUACCAUAUUGUAUAGAUUAGAUUGCCUGGAAGUCACUGGGGACUUACUCUGAAAAAGAUGUGGAGAUCAAACAUAAUUAAAAUUAGUUUGUGAUUAACAUUGAUUGUGCUUACAGUGUUUAGAGUUAAGAUAGAAUGAAUGAGAUGACUCUUUUUGAAAAUGGUAAGUUUGUGGGUGAUUGGCUUGACAUUAAGCCCUGGGGUACAGAGAAAGUAGAGUCAGCAGUUAGGUAGUAUUUCAAUCUCAGGCUGCAUGUGGAAAUACCUUCUCCUCAUUCUAUUUGGAGCAGGAAUGCAUCCAGAACAUGCUACACUAAAAGAGGAGUUCUCAGGGCUGCCAACCUUACAGUAGAGGUUGAGUAGUAGUAUAUUUCUCCUACAGAAAGAGAAAAGAAAAUUAGCAGGAGUUGACUGACUGUAGGAAAGAAGAGUCAAAUGUGACUUCAGCUUCUGGCUUGGGUGGAUAAAUAAAGUAUAAUUUGAAGAAUAGACUUGAUAGGAAAGAAAAUUAGAUCAGUUUUGGACAUUACAGAAUUUGAAAUGUUUACAGGUUUUGUGAUAAUUUUUCCUUUCAAAAUCUUUAACUGUCAUUUAAAAAGUUGACGUUCAGAGAUAGUGGCCCAAGUUUAUUUUGAAACUAAUGCAGUCUAGGGCUGGUGGUAUAGCCAGCCUGGUUACCGAAGCCUGAUGACUCCUGGACCAUGGAAGAAGGAGCUGACCCCUUCUGAAAGCCACCCACUCGAUUGUGGCACAUGUACCUUAGUAUUCUCCACUCACAUACACAAUAAAAGAAAGAAAUUAGUGGAGUCCAUAAACUAGCUGCUGUUUUCAGUUUCACAUGUACAGAAAACUUGGAAUUUGAAAAUAGUUUAAAGUUAGACAUUUUAGUAAUAUAAGUGCAUCUGCACAUACUGAGUAAAGCAGUCGUCAGUAACGGAUUGUUAGUAAUGGAUUGUUGGCUCCUAGUGUAGAAGGAUUUUGCACAUUAAAUGAAGGUAAUUUAUAACAUUAGCUGCUUCAAAGGAAAAAAUGCUUUAUUCUAAUUAUUUUCAUUUUUUCCUUGUCCAGUUCUUAUAUUUACAAUAGGGUUUGGAAGUUUAUUUGUCUGAAAGUGAAACAUCUGUUUGUAUUAUGAAUACUAUUGCAAUGUUUUUGAAAUGAACUCACUGUCUAACGUAGCCUUCACUGUGUUGACACAGGUGUAGCAAGAUACAGAUAUCUUUGACAGGAGAGAAGUCUGGAGUAUUUCUUCAUCUGUAAUUACUGCCUCAUGCUUAAAUACGGAUGGGAAUUAAUUGGGUCCUUGAAAUUAAGUCACUUAUGAUCACAUCUAAGGUGUAUUUUACUUUGUUCUGAGGAAAGAAAGAAGAUAAAGCUUGGCUUCACACAAGAAAUGUAGUCUUGGGAAGUACAUACGUAUUGUUUAUAAUUGUAUUCCCCAAAGCAGCACUGAUUCAUUUAAAGGGUAUUAGUCUCUAAUUGAGGGCUCUCAGUCAAGUUCAAACUGUGCAGAUCCUUUGAGAGGUUAGCUGUUUGCUCACAUCACCAGCCACAUAUCAUGUAUGUACACCAUGAUCUUUAUACCAUGGGAUAACUGAGAACAGGGCUGAGGAAAACUUCUGGACUCUUCUUUGUUAGGGAUGCAGAAGCUGGAGUCCUCCCUACUGCUUUUGGUAAACUUGGUGAUGGAAAACUUGUUGAGAUUCCAUCUGUUGGAAGAUAGAGACUCUAGCCGUCAUUUAUAAAAGCACUAGCAAUAUUUUAGGAGAACACCAAAGUAUAUUUCAUAGGGAAGGGGGGGUGUUUCCAGGUAUAUUUUUAAGAAAAUUAUUAUCCUAUAUGGUUAGGAUAAUCAUCCUGAUAUCGCUAUACUCUUGGUUUGGAAUAAGUGAGUUUAUUAAGUACACAGCAAGCUAAAGUAAAAGAAUACAUAGCAAAAGAUGAAGUAGACAAAACAUCAAAUUGUGACUGGGGAGAUGGCUCAGUGGAUAGAGCAUAUAUGCUUCUAACUGCCUCUAACUCUAGCUCCAUGAAAUCCUUUGGGUCUCAAGGACACCUGAACUUACAUGUAUGCACACACAUAAUUUAAAUAUUAAAAAAUAAACACUUAAAAAGAGCAUCACCAUUGGCUGGAGAGUUGCACUGACUGAACUGUUAAAAGCACUGAUUACUCUUCCAUAGGAUAUGGAUUCCAUUCCUAGCACCCACAUGGUAGCUCACAACUGUCUCUAACUCUAGUCCCCAGAGACCAGUGUUCUAUUUUGACCUCUAUAAGCACUACGUAUCCAUGUUGUGCACAUAUAUACAUGCAGAUAAAAUAUUUAUACAUGUAAUUAAAUCUUAAAAUCCAAACCAGGCACUUAAAAUCUAUCAGGUUCUUAAUAGAUCUAGCAGAAAUGCAUUGGGGAAGGAAAUUGUUGGCUGGAGCUCCUCAGAGAGUUUCGGGCAGAGCAGAAUGUCCCCUCCAGUGAACCUUCCAGGUACAGGAACUAAUCACAACAUGCACAGAUCCCAGCAGAAACCGACUGGACAAGUUGAGGCCAAUUUAAUGAUGCUUUGCUGUCUACCUGUAAUUUACUGAUUGUUCAUUUACUUUGAAUUGCUAUAUAUUUAAUAAAAUCACGCAUUCAAAACCAAA